UACGUAGGGGGCAAGCGUUGUCCGGAUUUAUUGGGCGUAAAGAGCGUGUAGGCGGCCAGGUAGGUCUGCUGUGAAAACUCGAGGCUCAACCUCGAGACGUCGGCGGAAACCAUCUGGCUAGAGUCCGGAAGAGGAGAGUGGAAUUCCUGGUGUAGCGGUGAAAUGCGCAGAUAUCAGGAAGAACACCCGUGGCGAAGGCGGCUCUCUGGGACGGUACUGACGCUGAGACGCGAAAGCGUGGGGAGCGAACAGGG
rnacentral:rRNA from 1 species